AUUACAGAAUCACUUAAAUUUACCAUCUUUCUAAGAUUAGCUGAUUUUUCCCUUUAGGGGAUUGACUAAGGGAGGCCAGCUUUUUGAAUAUCAAAACUGCUUUCUUUUCUAGCCAAAAAAAUCUUGACCCUGGUUCUUUGGGAUUCUCAAAGAUGUAAAGUUUAUUUUUAUGAGCCCUCGUUUUGGCACUACAGAUUAGAAGAAGAAAAAAAAGAAUAUUCUUUGUCCCACAGUUCAAGGGCUGUUCUUUUGUUAAUAGUUCAAACACAGAUACAGUUUCUUCAGAGCCUUGUCUACACCUGGAUAAGUAAGGUUUGUAACGUAAUUAACUAUAAUAAACAAUUUAGUUUCAAUGUUUUCUUUAAUAUGAUAACAUGUUAUUAUGGACACUUGGUUUUGGAUGCGUGGCUAACAACUGCCUUUUGGAUUUUCCAUGUUAGGAUGAAAAAAAUGCACAACAUACAUCACCAAGAAAAAAGGUUGUGCCUGGCAGUGUAAUUGAUUCUAUAACAAAGAGAAAAGCUUCGAAAUGCUCAUGAUGCAGCUGCUGCCUGCAGAGCCCUGUGCUGCUGGGGAAGCGAGUGAGGCCUCUGCAGCAGAUGGCUGGGACAGCCAUGAGAAGACCAGGAGGUGGCCACAACAACAGUGCUUUCCAGAUGAGGCUGAGACCACAGCCAAGAUCACCACGGG
rnacentral:lncRNA from 1 species